AACACUGUUAACCUGCGGUACCUGCGGAGGGAUCAUUACACAAUACAAUAUGAAGGCUGUCCGCAGCUGGAGUAUUUUAUUACCCUUGUCUUUUGCGCACUUGUUGUUUCCUGGGCGGGUUCGCUCGCCACCAGGACCACCAAAUAAACCUUUUUUAUGCAGUUGCAAUCAGCGUCAGUACAAACAAUGUAAAUCAUUUACAACUUUUAGCAAUGGAUCU
rnacentral:misc_RNA from 1 species